rnacentral:rRNA from 1 species
AUGAACGCUGGCGGCGUGCCUAAUACAUGCCCGUCGAGCGCACAGACGAGGAGCUUGCUCCUCUGACGUUAGCGGCGGACGGGUGAGUAACACGUGGAUAACCUACCUAUAAGACUGGGAUAACUUCGGGAAACCGGAGCUAAUACCGGAUAAUAUAUUGAACCGCAUGGUUCAAUAGUGAAAGACGGUUUUGCUGUCACUUAUAGAUGGAUCCGCGCCGCAUUAGCUAGUUGGUAAGGUAACGGCUUACCAAGGCAACGAUGCGUAGCCGACCUGAGAGGGUGAUCGGCCACACUGGAACUGAGACACGGUCCAGACUCCUACGGGAGGCAGCAGUAGGGAAUCUUCCGCAAUGGGCGAAAGCCUGACGGAGCAACGCCGCGUGAGUGAUGAAGGUCUUCGGAUCGUAAAACUCUGUUAUUAGGGAAGAACAAAUGUGUAAGUAACUAUGCACGUCUUGACGGUACCUAAUCAGAAAGCCACGGCUAACUACGUG